rnacentral:rRNA from 1 species
GACGAACGCUGGCGGCGUGCUUAACACAUGCAAGUCGAACGGAAAGGCCCUGCUUUUGUGGGGUGCUUGAGUGGCGAACGGGUGAGUAACACGUGAGUAACCUGCCCUUGACUUUGGGAUAACUUCAGGAAACUGGGGCUAAUACCGGAUAGGAGCUCCUGCUGCAUGGUGGGGGUUGGAAAGUUUCGGCGGUUGGGGAUGGACUCGCGGCUUAUCAGCUUGUUGGUGGGGUAGUGGCUUACCAAGGCUUUGACGGGUAGCCGGCCUGAGAGGGUGACCGGCCACAUUGGGACUGAGAUACGGCCCAGACUCCUACGGGAGGCAGCAGUGGGGAAUAUUGCACAAUGGGCGGAAGCCUGAUGCAGCAACGCCGCGUGCGGGAUGGCGGCCUUCGGGUUGUAAACCGCUUUCGCCUGUGACGAAGCGUGAGUGACGGUAAUGGGUAAAGAAGCACCGGCUAACUACGUG